AAGUACGCCAUCAUCGGGACGGCUCUGGGCAUAGCCAUAUCGGCUGUUUUCCUGGUCCUGAAGAUCUGCAUGAUCAAGAAGCAUUUGUUUGAUAUCGACACCUCGGACUUGAGAAGCACAAGCCCAGGCUUCCACGACUCCGUCACACUGAAGAAGACAGUCCCAAGAGAUGAACAAGUGAUUGAGCUCUAAAUGAGUGGCCUCCUCAGGAGAGGCUGGGCAGCCUGGACAGUUUCAGUCUCAGGGAUGUCAUGAAUUUGAGCUUCCAAAGCUGGUGAUGGACCUUCAUGUGAAACUCAAUGCCCAGGGCAAGUAAUAGAUGGAAUAUUGUCUACAGUGUUUCUGUCCUGAAGGAAAAUUUCAAUUCUCUUCCCCAAGAAGCUGACUGCCUAGAGGGAGGCAUGAGUACUUUACCAGCAGUAAGAAAGAAUGGAAGGCAAUAAAUCCACACUAUCUAUCCUAGUCCUCCAUGGUUCAUGAUUCUAUGAUUGGAUUGUGUCCAUCUCAAUGGAACCUACCCAUAGGAAAUGGCUCAUGCAAAUGGGGACCAAAGUCAAGACACAGCCUCCUUAGAACCACCUUUAACAACAGGUAAGCAUCAUUUUCCAGAACUGAGGGCCUCACCUUCUCAGUUGCCAUAAGAAUGCCCCUGCGAAUAUUCAGGGUCCUUGAGACAUGAAGACCAUGGGGUAGUCUCCAGUCUUACAAAUGAAGACCAACCUUCUGCAGGAAGAAAUGGAGGGCUGGGCUGGAGUGAGAGGAGGAGGUCUCAAUGGCCUCGGAAUGGCCUGCAGUCUGCAGCUCCGCACAAGACGGAGCCAGCAAAGGAUUAAAUGAAAAAGCCGGUGGCGUACCUUACAGGGACCUACACAGAUGUAACGGAUUAUUGUUAUGCUUAGAGCAUUAUUUUGUGGUUAUUUGUACAAAUGCGAAUGGCUUUUGCCUGGAGAACACGACUGACAGAGGCUUAGGAAACCCCCAUCUUUUUAUCAUUGCCAUCAACCUAAGGCUGUGGCAUAGGCCCCUUUAACAUUUCUCUCCCCUGUACUAUUAACCCUGUAUUUCCGGGGCUGCAUUCUCGAAUACUCUUUGCCUUUCCAGUUCAACAGAAAUCCAGGUGGUUGCGUGGGCUGGUUCUCCUUGGAUUGGGUUACUCUCCUUGUGUGGGAUGAAAGAUGAGCGAUAUUUCAAAACAACGUGCUGUGUUGUAAUAAUUUGCCUGGAUUCCCAGGGCGUCUUUUAUCUGACUUGAUAACAACGUAGUUCAUUAGCAGCCUUUGUUAGCUGAUAACCGAAAGCGGUAACAUGAUACUCAUAAGCAAUUUUCCAUGUGUAAGAUAGAAUAAACCAUCUUGUAAGGUAUCUGUUAAUUGAUUUGCUUCUUUUAGCAGCAUUUUAAUUAAGACUUCUGGUUUGUGAAUGGCAGAGACACUUACAAACUGAAGGUGAAUGCCUCAGGAUUCUCAGUAAUCAUUUUCUAGAGACACAACAAAACCGUGGGGUCCUCUCCUUCAUCCCACACCAUGAUGUAUUUCCCUAUCACCAUUCCCGGGCUCUGGUUUUGUUUUAGCCCCACGCAAGGUUUCCUGGGUGAAGAAUAGAGAAGUAUGCUGAGAGCCAAUGCUCUCUCCUUGGGUUAUAAAGGCUGACAUGCCCUGGGAGACAGCAUGGGACUCUUUGUAAAGGGCCCCCUUGGUUUCCACCCCAAAUUCAAGCUCAGUGGCUUCCUUCUGUGGCUAUUCUACUGAAAGCUCUCUGACUCCCGUCUUGACAGCCCUUCUCCCUGGUAGCAGUUCCUGGGGGUGGAGGUUCCAAUGGGCAAGAGCUCUUGGGAGUGUUUGGAAGCAGCCACGAGAAGUCACUGUGUGUGUGAGAGCAAUGUCAUGAAUGAGGGCCAUUUUGACUGCCUCACCCAGUGGUUUGGGAGUAUGGCAGCAGAGGCCAAGGGUUAAGGGAAAUUCCUGCCUUCCCAGCCCAGUAGGCCCUGGGGCCCCUGGAACACAUGCAGGUCCCAGACUGCCCACCCUGGCAGGCAGAACACCCUGCCCAAAGCGUGGGGGACCAAUAACACUCAAACACUAGGAGGAAGAGCUAUCCCUACAUGGGUGGACCAGGCUGGGACAGCAGCAGCCAGCCAGGCUCUAUGGGCAUAGCUGUGGUUGGCUGCCUCCAGGACUCAGUGCCCAGAGGAGAAUGUGAGAUGGGAGAGGGUUAUAUG